AAAUGUAUUAAAAAAUCAGAAGAAAGACAAAAUGAGAGGAUGUGAAAGAGAGACCGAGAUUAUGCCUCCAUUUCCUUUCAUAUCUAUUCUGUAACUGCUCUCAUCCACCCAGCGGAAACCCACAGCUCCACUAAAACAAGCUUACUGGCCACACGUGCCGAUUGAAAGCACCAGUAAAGAUAUCUGCUCUACAACGAGGACGAGGAGCCACCCGCUGUGCUGAAGACUUGGCCAUGAGGGGCAGCACUCUGUGCUGAUGUUUGGACUCUCAUUCUGACGGCACCCAUUCACUGCAGAGGAUUAAUUGGUCAGCAGAACCAAGACCUUCACCAUUCUCUUCGAUCUGUGGUAUGACAGGAAAAGAACCCAAAGAGCCCACUGUCACGGCCCACAGAGAGCUGUUGUCUCCUGGCUUGUAAUCUUCAUCCUUUGACCUCACUUUGUGGAGGUCCAUCUUCUCCAUUACCAGCAGAUGUUCUACCAGCCUUGUUGGAG
ensembl:lncRNA